CCUACGGGAGGCAGCAGUGAGGAAUAUUGGUCAAUGGACGAGAGUCUGAACCAGCCAAGUAGCGUGAAGGAUGACUGCCCUAUGGGUUGUAAACUUCUUUUAUAUGGGAAUAAAAUGUUCCACGUGUGGGAUUUUGUAUGUACCAUAUGAAUAAGGAUCGGCUAACUCCGUGCCAGCAGCCGCGGUAAUACGGAGGAUCCGAGCGUUAUCCGGAUUUAUUGGGUUUAAAGGGAGCGUAGGUGGAUUGUUAAGUCAGUUGUGAAAGUUUGCGGCUCAACCGUAAAAUUGCAGUUGAAACUGGCAGUCGUGAGUACAGUAGAGGUGGGCGGAAGUCGUGGUGUAGCGGUGAAAUGCUUAGACAUCACGAAGAACUCCGAUUGCGAAGGCAGCUCACUGGACUGCAACUGACACUGAGGCUCGAAAGUGUGGGUAUCAAACAGGAUUAGAUACCCUUGUAGUC
rnacentral:rRNA from 1 species